UACAGAGGUCUCAAGCGUUGUUCGGAUUCAUUGGGCGUAAAGGGUGCGUAGGCGGCGCGGUAAGUCGGGUGUGAAAUCUCGGGGCUUAACUCCGAAACUGCAUCCGAUACUGCCGUGCUUGAGGACUGGAGAGGAGACUGGAAUUUACGGUGUAGCGGUGAAAUGCGUAGAUAUCGUAAGGAAGACCGGUGGCGAAGGCGGGUCUCUGGACAGUACCUGACGCUGAGGCACGAAGGCGAGGGGAGCAAACGGG
rnacentral:rRNA from 1 species